UACUAUCUUUAUCUGCUUCCGCCAGUGGCGGUUUCCACUGAAGGGUGAACAGUUCUGGCUAGGGAAUGUCUCUCACGCUUUUCUCCGGCUUCUCAACUCAAGCUCAACUACCUUCACCUUCCUUCAUCACCACCUCUCGCCUCGUCCAGAGCGUAGUACGAACCAAAGCUUCACCUGCAACGACCCCUUCUCUCCAGCAGCCUCUCCCACCCAGCCCUAAUGAAGUUCAAGUUCCAGUUCCAGCUUCAACACCACCGCCCUCAUUAUCCUGCGCCCUCCAAUGCCCUCACUUCCAAUCGUGCUCGGGUUGCACUCACGAGUGGAACUUACACCGUCCGCCCAUUCUCGAUGAAGCCACCGAUUUCUUCAAGAAACUCGGUGUUUCCGACUUCACCUUCGAUAGUUGUAGACUGUGGGGUUGGAGAUGCCGCGCAAAACUAGCUGUUCGGGGUUCGUCCUUCAGUCCUUUAAUUGGACUUUAUCAAGAGGGUUCACAUAAUGUCGUUGAUAUCCCUAUCUGCAAAGCUCACCAUCCUAACAUUAACAUUGCUGUUGAACUUCUAAGGCAAGGUAUUCGGAAGUUGGGUGUUGAGCCGUACAACGAGGAUGAAGGGACAGGUGAAUUGCGAUACGUGCAGAUGGCUGUGACAACACACAAUACAUCCCUCCCCACUGCCGAGAGAUACCGAAAUGGUAAAGUCCAGGUCAGUUUGGUCUGGAAUUCAAGGAAUGAGAACUCGCCUAGCUCAGAAAAAUUAAAUGCAUUGGUAAAUGUAAGGUUUUUAUGGAGAAAUGGUGGGCCGAGGAGCAAUCGUCAUCUGAUUCACUCUGUCUGGGUUAACUUUCAGACAUCAGCUAAUAAUAUAAUUUUUGGAAAUAGGUGGAGACACUUAGUAGGAGAAAGAGAUUUUUGGGAACAUGUUGGAGGAAUCGAUAUUUCUUUAGAUCCAUCAAGCUUUGGCCAAGCAAAUACACGGGCUUUUGAUUUGCUACUCGGGAAGUUGCAAAAAUAUGUCCCCUAUGGAGCAUCUGUUGCUGAUUUGUAUGCAGGAGCAGGUGCAAUUGGAUUAUCAUUAGCUGUUGCUAGAAAAUGCAGGUCUGUGAAAUGCAUAGAGAUCAACAAAGAGUCAAAGGUGUCUUUUGAGAAAACUGUUGGCCGCUUACCAAGUUCUGUUGAUAGCAGCAUCAGCUGGCACCAUGCAGAUGCUUCGACUGAACCUUUUUCUUGGCUUGAAGGAUCAGAUGUGGUCAUAGUUGAUCCUCCUAGAAAAGGGUUGGACCUUACUUUGGUCAAUGCAUUGCAGAAUAUUGCAUCUUUCAUGCAUAAAGCAAUGAGAUCUGAAAGUUCUUCCUUAAAGUCGAAAGAUGAGAAGAGGCCAUGGAUUUUACGUGCAAUGGAAGGUUCUGUCAAGAUAGAAAGCAAAACAAUCUGGGAGAAAAGCGAGGCAUUGCCUCAAACUCUUAUCUAUAUAAGCUGUGGAUGGGAAAGCUUUAAAGAGGAUUGCAGGUCUUUGUUGUCUGCUAAGGCAUGGUAUUUGGAAAAAGCACAUGGUUUCAAUUUCUUUCCAGGCACCAAUAGCAUCGAAAUCUUGGCAGUGUUCAAGCGGGAAGCAGGGGUCGGCCUCAAGAAGAAGAAAACGGGAAAGACAAAGAAGAAGAAGAAGAAGAAGAAGAAGAAAUCACUACAAGAUACCUAAGAUAUAAACUGGAAAGAGUGAAAGACCAUGGAAGCCAUCCUUUCGGAUGAAAAUGUGAGGGAAGGCACUCAAAAUGUUGUGGCUCCUCAAAUCUUGUCUGGUCAAGAUCCCCACCACAGGAGACACCUACAAAAUUCAACACCCAGAAGAAGGUGGGGGGAGGAGAAGUGAAAUGUUUGACCAACUCACCCCAGCUGCUUGAUACUUUGGUACAAUCAGCAAAUGGCGGAGCCCAACCUGCCGGAAUAGCACCACAGCCUUGGCAACUGACAUGUUCUCCACAACUGUGUAUGGGGUGGUGUUGGUGAAAGGAUGCAAAUCUACAUACAUCUCCAUUUCUUCAUCUGUUACAGUCACCUCGAUCUUCGUACUCUCUGCCAAGUCAAAUGAGGUAAAUUUCUCCCUAGCUUCCCACUCCUCUGUUCUCCUCCUCUCUGUCAGGAACCAUUUCUUAUUUAUCACUGAAACAAGGUGCCUUCUUAGAAUCAGUCCAUGUAGUUCUGUUGCUCUAGUGAGCAGCCUUUCUGGUGCCGUCACUCCUCCAUCAACAACAGGGAAGCCAUUGUGUGUAGUGUUUUGCAGGACCUCGAUAAUGCGGCCCACCUUUUCCACACCAUGAAGAGUGAUUAAAGGUUGCUUUGCAUCAGCUAGCUCAGCUACAGUAAGGUUUCUCAUCCAUGUUUCAGGGUGGGCCUUCAAGAAAGGUAGGCCUUUCAUGUCCAGCAUGAUCUCGUAGAUGCUUGGGUUGAAGCUGUCCGCAACAGUUUUGGCAAUGAGUAGGACAAGCAUGGUUAUUGGCAGCAGGAGGAGAUUGUUGGUGAGCUCAAGGAAGAUGACACAAACAGAGACAGUCAUCCUCAUGGAGCCAGCCAUGAGGGAAGCAGCACCAAGGACAGCAUAGAGCCCCUGGUCGAUGCUGGUGUAGGGCCCCAUGACAAGACCCAAUAGGCGGCCAUAGGCUGAA